rnacentral:rRNA from 1 species
AUUCCAGCUCCAAUAGCGUAUAUUAAAGUUGUUGCAGUUAAAAAGCUCGUAGUUGGAUUUGUGGCGUGUGCCAUGGCGUCCAUUUAUUUGGUUCUGCCGUGGCCGUGCCAUCCUUGGGUGGAUCCUGUGUGGCAUUAGGUUGUCGUGCAGGGGAUACCCAUCGUUUACUGUGAAAAAAUUAGAGUGUUCAAAGCAGGCUUAUGCCGUUGAAUAUAUUAGCAUGGAAUAAUAAGAUAGGUCUUUGGUCCUAUUUUGUUGGUUUGCGGGCCGGAGAAAUGAUUAACAGGGACAGUUGGGGGUAUUCGUAUUCCAUUGUCAGAGGUGAAAUUCUUGGAUUUCUGGAAGACGAACUACUGCGAAAGCAUUUACCAAGGAUGUUUUCAUUAAUCAAGAACGAAAGUUAGGGGAUCGAAGAUGAUUAGAUAC